GCGGGUUUAGCUCAGUUGGGGUAAGUUGCAAAACUUGGAAAACUCCAGCACAUCAAGUCUAACAAUCUCAUAGAGAGCGUCAGACUGAAGAUCUGAAGGUCAUGUGUUCGAUCCACAUAAACCGCA